rnacentral:rRNA from 1 species
UGGGGAAUCUUGCGCAAUGGGCGAAAGCCUGACGCAGCAACGCCGCGUGAGCGAAGAAGGCCUUCGGGUUGUAAAGCUCUGUCAGGAGAGACGAAGCCACUCGGGUGAAUAGCCUAGAGGGUGACGGUAUCUCCAGAGGAAGCCCCGGCUAACUACGUGCCAGCAGCCGCGGUAAUACGUAGGGGGCGAGCGUUGUCCGGAAUCAUUGGGCGUAAAGCGCGUGUAGGCGGCUUGUCAAGUCCGAUGUGAAAUCUCGGGGCUCAACCCCGAAACUGCAUUGGAAACUGGCUUGCUAGAGUCCGGAAGAGGAGAACGGAAUUCCUGGUGUAGCGGUGAAAUGCGCAGAUAUCAGGAAGAACACCGGUGGCGAAGGCGGUUCUCUGGGACGGUACUGACGCUGAGACGCGAAAGCGUGGGGAGCAAACAG